GGCCACGCCCGCCGGGAGGGACACGAGGGCCACCGUGCUGUCGGAUCCGAGGAUCAUGCCGGCGGGGAGGCGACGGUGGUGGCGGCGGCGCUCGGUGCCGAAAGCCUUCCAGAGGGAGGGGUUCGGCCCGCUCGGGAGAGAGGCCACGGGUGGAAAACGCUUGCGUUUCGCGGAGAGAAGCGAGGGUCUGAGCCUGACUUGACGAGCGAGCAGCGUCACCUGUUCUGCUGGGAACUGCACGAAGGCGUACCAUCUGCGCUGUUUGGAGAACAAACAUGAUUCUUUUUCUAGUCACAGCGAGCAACUCAUUUGCGAUUGGCACAUAUGUUUCAACUGCAGACAGAGUUCACAUUUUCAGUGUCUGUGCUGUCCUAAAUCGGUUUGCCAUGACUGCCUUGGCAAAGUUGGAUUUGUCGAGCUGAGAAUGCAGCAAAAAGGAUUUUGCACCAGCUGCUUGAGCAAGGCUAUCCUGAAUUCCUGAUUGAGAAGAAUACUGAUAUUGAUCCUCGUUGGGUAAGUGUAUGCAUAUACCCGACUUCUU